rnacentral:rRNA from 1 species
UACGGAAGGUCCGGGCGUUAUCCGGAUUUAUUGCGUUUAAAGGGAGCGUAGGCGGGGUGCUAAGCGUGUUGUGAAAUGCUGCGGCUCAACCGUAGCAGUGCAGCGCGAACUGGCUCCCUUGAGUGCGCGGAAGGAAGGCGGAAUUCGUGGUGUAGCGGUGAAAUGCUUAGAUAUCACGAGGAACUCCGAUUGCGAAGGCAGCUUUCCGCAGCGUUACUGACGCUGAAGCUCGAAGGUGCGGGUAUCGAAC